GCUAGCGGCAGGCUUAACACAUGCAAGUCGAGGGGUAACAGGGAUUGCUUGCAAUCCGCUGACGACCGGCGCACGGGUGAGUAACGCGUAUGCAACCUACCUUUUACAGGGGUAUAGUCAAGAGAAAUUUUGAAUAAUACCCCAUACGAUCUGAAUCACUCCUGUGAUACAGAAGAAAACUACGGUGGUAAAAGAUGGGCAUGCGUCCUAUUAGUUUGUUGGUGAGGUAACGGCUCACCAAGACUACGAUAGGUAGGGGUCCUGAGAGGGAGAUCCCCCACACUGGUACUGAGACACGGACCAGACUCCUACGGGAGGCAGCAGUGAGGAAUAUUGGACAAUGGAGGCAACUCUGAUCCAGCCAUGCCGCGUGCAGGAAGACGGCCCUAUGGGUUGUAAACUGCUUUUAUACAGGAAGAAACCUACUUACGUGUAAGUAGCUGACGGUACUGUAAGAAUAAGGAUCGGCUAACUCCGUGCCAGCAGCCGCGGUAAUACGGAGGAUCCAAGCGUUAUCCGGAAUCAUUGGGUUUAAAGGGUCCGCAGGCGGUCUAAUAAGUCAGAGGUGAAAUCCUAUCGCUCAACGAUAGAACUGCCUUUGAUACUGUUAGACUUGAGUUAUUGUGAAGUAGUUAGAAUGUGUAGUGUAGCGGUGAAAUGCAUAGAUAUUACACAGAAUACCGAUUGCGAAGGCAGAUUACUAACAAUACACUGACGCUCAGGGACGAAAGCGUGGGUAGCGAACAGGAUUAGAUACCCUGGUAGUCCACGCCGUAAACGAUGGUCACUAGCUGUUUGACUAACAUUGGUUAGUUGAGUGGCUAAGCGAAAGUGAUAAGUGACCCACCUGGGGAGUACGCU
rnacentral:rRNA from 1 species